rnacentral:lncRNA from 1 species
UCUUGAAGGUAAAGAAAAGAUAAAGCACCUGUCAAACUUGUGAACUGGAAGGUUUCCUACAGAAUAUAAGGAUGACUUUUCCUUUUGGAAUAAGAUGAUGUUUUGUCUAACUAGCUUAAGCUACUGCUUCAACAUCUUGAGACAGGGAUGGUACAAUGGAUGAAAAAUCACUACUUGAUGUCACGUCCUUCUUAGAUCAUGCCAGCUAAAUAAAAUCUGACUUGCAGAUAGGCUAGGUAAAUUAGGGCCAAACACAUUUUAGAAAGUUAAGGUUUUACAAGCAGAUGUAAAACAUGAUUUAGCAUUUCAAUUAUUAUUAAUCCAAGUGUGUAAGAUACUUCAUUCCAAGUCAAGUUAGGUUAAACGAUAUGAUGUUAAAUCAGUUUGUAUAUUGUUUAUGGCCUAAAAUCACUGUAAAAUGUAAGAAAUAAGCAAGUAGGAGUAAGAGGAUGAACUACCACA